UACGUAGGGUCCGAGCGUUGUCCGGAAUUACUGGGCGUAAAGAGCUCGUAGGUGGUUUGUCGCGUUGUUCGUGAAAACUCACAGCUCAACUGUGGGCGUGCGGGCGAUACGGGGCAGACUAGAGUACUGCAGGGGAGACUGGAAUUCCAGGUGUAGCGGUGAAAUGCGUAGAUAUCUGGAGGAACACCGGUGGCGAAGGCGGCAUCCUGGACCAACACUGACGCUGAGGAGCGAAAGCCAGGGGAGCAAACGGG
rnacentral:rRNA from 1 species